AGUGAAAUUCAGAAGAGACUAUUCACACUAAGCACUGCAUACAGCUACUUUCAGAAAUAAGUUUACCAACUGCAUUUAGGAACGUGAUUACAAGGAAGAUAAAAUAAAUUUCCUGAACUGCAGAAUGGAAUGUGACCAACUUCUUCACUUUUACGCUGUAAUCAUGGUUCUGAAAAAUAAAAUAAAAAAUCUGGACAUCUGAACUAUCACUGCUUUCCCGAACAUAGCAGAAGGAACAAAGUAAUGCCAGAACAGGAUUUGAAGAUCCUCUUCAAUAUUCCAGAGAAGUUUCCACUUCUGUCAUUAUCCAGUGUCAGAGUGAGAAUAGGUAUGAGG